rnacentral:rRNA from 1 species
UACGUAGGGGGCAAGCGUUGUCCGGAAUCAUUGGGCGUAAAGCGCGCGUAGGCGGCCCGGUAAGUCCGCUGUAAAAGUCAAAGGCUCAACCUUUGAAUGCCGGUGGAUACUGUCGGGCUAGAGUCCGGAAGAGGCGAGUGGAAUUCCUGGUGUAGCGGAGGAAUGCGCAGAUAUCAGGAGGAACACCGAUAGCGAAGGCAGCUCGCUGGGACGGUACUGACGUUAAGGCGCGAAAGCGUGGGGAGCAAACAGG